AACGAACGCUGGCGGCAUGCCUAACACAUGCAAGUCGAACGAGACCUUCGGGUCUAGUGGCGCACGGGUGCGUAACGCGUGGGAACCUGCCCUUAGGUUCGGAAUAACUCCCCGAAAGGGGUGCUAAUACCGGAUAAUGUCUUCGGACCAAAGAUUUAUCGCCUUUGGAUGGGCCCGCGUUGGAUUAGCUAGUUGGUAGGGUAAAAGCCUACCAAGGCGACGAUCCAUAGCUGGUCUGAGAGGAUGAUCAGCCACACUGGGACUGAGACACGGCCCAGACUCCUACGGGAGGCAGCAGUGGGGAAUAUUGGACAAUGGGCGAAAGCCUGAUGCAGCAAUGCCGGGUGAGUGAUGAAGGCCUUAGGGUUGUAAAGCUCUUUUAACCGGGAUGAUAAUGACAGUACCGGGAGAAUAAGCUCCGGCUAACUCCGUG
rnacentral:rRNA from 1 species